GACGAACGCUGGCGGCGUGCUUAACACAUGCAAGUCGAGGAGAACUUUGGAGCUUGCUCCAAAGGGACACUGGCGCACGGGUGAGUAACGCGUAGGCAAUCUGCCUUCAGCGCCGACAUAACAGGCCUAACGGCCUGCUAAUAUCGGAUAUCGCGGAUGUGUGGCAUCACAUGACCGUAAAAGCCUUCGGGCGGCUGAAGAGGAGCCUGCGUCCCAUUAGGUAGUUGGAGGGGUAACGGCCCACCAAGCCUGCGAUGGGUAGCUGGUCUGAGAGGAUGAUCAGCCACAUUGGGACUGAGACACGGCCCAG
rnacentral:rRNA from 1 species